rnacentral:pre_miRNA from 1 species
AAUGGGAUAACUGGGUCAAAUGGUUGUUCAAUUCCUAGUUUUCUGAGGAAUCUCCAUACUUCUUUCCACAGUGGUUGCACCAAUUUGAAAUCCCACCAGAAAU